GAUGAAGAACGCAGCGAAAUGCGAUAAGUAAUGCGAAUUGCAGAAUUUCUAGUGAGUCAUCGAAUCUUUGAACGCACAUUGCGCCCGCCAGUAUUCUGGCGGGCAUGCCUGUCUGAGCGUCAUUUCAACCCUCAGCCCCCGUCCGCGGGGCGCUGGCGUUGGGGCCCGGCCGUCCUCCGCGGCGGCCGUCCCCGAAACACAGUGGCGGUCUCCCGUAGACUCCCCUGCGUAGUAGCACUACCUCGCAGAAGGGACGAGCGGGAUGGCCACGCCGUAAAACCCCCCACUUCUCAAGGUUGACCUCAGAUCAGGUAGGAAUACCCGCUGAACUUAAGCAUAUCAAUAAGCGGAGGA
rnacentral:misc_RNA from 1 species